rnacentral:rRNA from 1 species
UAUAAUGACUCUCGGCAACGGAUAUCUCGGCUCUUGCAUCGAUGAAGAACGUAGCGAAAUGCGAUACUUGGUGUGAAUUGCAGAAUCCCGUGAACCAUCGAGUCUUUGAACGCAAGUUGCGCCCGAAGCCAUUAGGCUGAGGGCACGUCUGCCUGGGUGUCACA